GCUUGCGAACGGCCGCAUCUCAAAUCAGCCGCUGAGACCGCCGCACGCCGUCCCCCUGUUGCGCCCGGCCUUUGUGUGCGACUCACCGCCCCAGGGCCCGAGCGCGGAUCCACUUGGGCGACAGAGGAAUGCUUACGGGUGAACCGGGCCGCACCAUCGACGGCGGAUCAGCGGGUCACGGUCUGCCCUUGAGAGCGAGCCUCCCUCGCGGCGGUGGUGACGCCAUCAGGAAGGGCAACAGUGGAGGCCGCUCUGUCAACGUGUCACGCCACAAGGCAUCAGUGAAACCGGAACACCGAAGCGGUAGGUAGCGCCGCUCGAAAGCAACAGCUAGGCAAUAGCGGUGCGUCGGCCGUUUACCCCCGGUUGCUUGCACAGUUGCCUGAAAAGCGAACGUGGAACGAAACACCCGCUGCGCGCUCGAAAGAAGGGCCAGGAUCGAAGGGCGCGGGCGUUCAUGACCCCCCUGCGUUGCACCCUUCAAAUGAAACGGAGCCCUCUUGGCGAUAGCACAAAGGAACGCUCCCGCGCACUGCGUUCGUUGACCGCACGGCUCCCGCAUGAAGGCGCGACUUAAGGCGCGGCCUAACCCGCAGCUGCGACGGUCGUUGCGGAUGCAGGGAGGCCAGUAGUGGUGCCAUCUACUUGCGCACAAUUCAUUCGGUGCGCGGGAGCCCCCUCUGCUGUUGACCGUCUUCCACCGAAAGAGAAGCACACGUAUCUACGGCCGCGUGUCACCGCUUUGGUGGCCUUUCCGCAAAUUGUGUGUUUCGAAUUCUAUUCUUUUACCGCGGAAUAUUUGUGCGUUUCCAUUUUACAGCAGUACUAUUUACAAGACGGGUAUUGUACAAUCGCUUCCGUUACAUUUUUCUUCUUUCUUUCUUUUUUUUCCGCAUGCAAUUACGUCAGAGCCGCUCCUUGCUGCCACUUGGCAUUUGAUAUAAAACAAAAUACUGCUUAAGGCCUAUAAUAAAGUUUUGUUCAAACGGCGAUUAGAAUUUUCUAUGGCUGCCGUAUUUCUUUUUAACAGUUAAGGGAGAUAGAAAUACAAGCUUUACUGAGAUGUUGGAACGACUGUUAGGAGGUGUCGAAGGAGGCCCACGAGGUAGUUAGAAAGUUUCACGGAGCGGUUUACAGAUGGAUUGCGUCGGUAGCGACAAGUCAUCUUAAAGGCUACAGCUGAAAAAGAAAGCACUAAAUGUAGUGUAUGGUUCCUUUUUAAAAAGAUAGCACCAGCGAGAAAUGCCAAAGGGAAUGAAAGAGCCCGCACGAGCAAGCGCUGACUUGCGUCAUGCAGGUGGACGAAAGUGGUCGUCAUGGGGAACUGCUGUUAUCUGAUUGCCGGCGUGGAAUGAAAUGUAUAAGCUUCACUUCCAUCUUAGUUGUGGGAACUAUACGCUGCGCUAAAGAGCAAGAGAAUGGAUGUUGAACGUUGCACGCGAUAGGAACAGGUACACACACAAGCGCUGGCACUUUUGUCAGGUCAUGGGUGAACGUGGCUGUUUUUCUGUAUUUCUCCAACACUUUGCAAUUGGUGGUCGUAUAGCAUAUUUCAUCACGUGACGUUCUCUGGCACCAAUUCCAGUGACGUCUGAGUGACGCGGUCACAGCACACCGUCAAAGACCUCUCUUGUUGAUGUUGCAGGUUAGUGCCUUUACUAAUCAACCAUGCAGUCAAACUGCGUGUAAACCAGUGCUGUCAUGCACAACAGCACCAAGAUUUGAGGGUCACGUACGAGGCCCUGCAGGGCGCGGUGUCUGUAGCUGAACCAUCUGAAUGUUAGGACAUCUUCCCGCAGCGGCUAAUGGGUGCUCGGCGGUCGGAAUGCAAAGAAUCUGGCGACAUCUGCCAGGUAAAUGACAUUCGCCCGCAAACAACCGCCGCCGGUCCUCCUCUCGCCCGGCGACGUCUUGAUAA